rnacentral:rRNA from 1 species
GACGAACGCUGGCGGCGUGCUCAACACAUGCAAGUGGAGCGACGAACCAGGGCUUGCCCUGGGGCAGAGCCGCGAACGGGUGAGUAACACGUGGGUAACCUGCCCAGAUGACCGGGACAACCCGAGGAAACUCGGGCUAAUACCGGAUGUGCUGUCCCCACAUCAGUGGGGUUAGGAAAGGUAGCUUCGGCUUCCGCAUCUGGAUGGGCCCGCGGCCCAUUAGCUUGUUGGUGAGGUAACGGCUCACCAAGGCUUCGAUGGGUAGCUGGUCUGAGAGGACGAUCAGCCACACUGGGACUGAGACACGGCCCAGACUCCUACGGGAGGCCGCAGUGGGGAAUCUUGCGCAAUGCGCGAAAGCGUGACUCAGCAACGCCGCGUGCGGGAAGACGGCCUUCGGGUUGUAAACCGCUUUCAGUUGGGACGAAGCCUUUGCGGUUAAUAGCCGUGGAAGGUGACGGUACCUUCAGAAGAAGCCCCGGCUAACUACGUGCCAGCCGCCGCCGUAA